GCCUGUGCUACACAAGCUUUUGUGCUUAGAAAGUAUACAAAUUUUUAUUUUUCGAAAAAAAUGACCGAUCGUUCACUAGAUAAGACCCUUCUUCCUCGGCUAGAGCUCUUUGAAGCUGCAUUUAAACUACAUUUUGGAAGUUCAAAAUCGGGGGCACAAUUGAAGUCCAUUAUAUGAAGAAAAAUCCUGAAAUGCUUUCCUCAAAAAACAUAAUUUCUUUACGACUGAAGACAGAAAGACAUGAACAUCUUGGAUGACAAGGGGAAGGACAUGUGCAGGAAACAGAAAAUUGCUACAAUGCAGAAUGAACAGAAGUGUCUCGAUCGUACUAAAGACUGGGUGAUUUCUGUCAAGGAAAAGUUAAUUCGUGAUUCCAAUAAUUUCCAGCCUGUUAGCUCUAACUGGAUUCAGAGAGAAGU